AUAGUGUGGCCUUAUGAUACAGUUCCUGUCAAUGAGAUUUAGAGAGAAAUGCCUGGGGAAGCUGCCCUUCUCUGAAUUAAAAGAGCCAGGACCACAUGAUGAGGCUGAUCAAUCAGUGGAGUGGACAGGAGGGAGAUUCCUGCCUCCUACAGUAGAUUCACCAUCUGGGACACAGAUAGUGUGUAACCACAGCGUGCACACCCUGCAGAUCCUGCUUCAUACCAUCUCCCGAAGACAUCAAAUUAUUAAGAUCUAGUGUGGCUACCUGAUAUUUUAAAGCUGUGCCUACAAAGCUUGCUUCAUCCACCUCUCCCCAUCUCUACAACUGCCACUGAUCUAGGCUUAGGGACGUAAACAAUCUGGUCUGCAUUACUGCUCAGUAAUCCCUAGAAAUCAUGGAGGCAGAAUCUCUCUUCUCUGUUUAUCAGAAACUCAGCCGAGCACGGUGGCUCACACCUAUAAUCCCAGCACUUUGGGAGGCCGAGGCAGAUGGAUAACUUGAGGUCAGGAGUUCUAGACCAGCCUGACCAACAUUGUGAAACCCCGUUUCUUCCAAAAAUACAAAAAUUGGUCGAGCAUGGUGGUGGUGUACACCUGUAAUCCCAGCUACUCAGGAGGCUGAGGCAGGAGAAUCACUUGAACCCAGGAGGCGGAGGUUGCAGUGAGCCGAGAUCGCACCACUGCACUCCAGCCUGGGCGACAGAGUGAGACCCUGUCUCAAAAAAAAAAAAAAAAAAAAAAAAAGGAAAGAAAGAAAGAAAAAAGGAAGGAAGGAAAGAGACAAAGAAAGAAACUCAUUUUCCAAGUCCCCAUCUCAUCUCUGUCACAUUUGUUCAUGUGAUGACACCACUUGUAGCUAUCCUAAGACCUCAGAGUGAUUACAGACAGCUCACUUCAAUUUCUACCCCAUAUUUCAAACACAUCUGCUAUAUAUAUUUUUUCAAUAGGCCCCAUCUACCUUGCUAAGAAAGACAUCAUCAUCAUGUUUAGUCUGUCUCCACAUCUGCUGCAGUGCUGACUACCUGAUCUGAUGCUCUGGACUAUUGCAUUACUUUUCUCUUACCUCAAUUAAGUGAUCAGAAUGUGGUAUUUAAAACCUAUAAGUGGCCUCAAACUCUUCAGUUAAAAACAAUUUAUCAUUGCAUUGCAAAAAUUCCAAACUAUUCAUCAGAACUGAAAAAAGUCUUGUGUGAGGUUCCAUGGGGUAAGGAGAGCAGUGACAAAGCUGUAACCAUAAAGCAGACAAGAAAAUGGCUUUGAUGCAUAUGUAACUGGGGAUAAAAAUAAAGAGGGAGUGAGGAACCAGACAUAAUUAUAAAAUAAAACAAGCAGAAUUUUCUUUUCUAAAUUCAGUCAGUUCAGUUGAAGAGCAGGUGUCCUCUCUCCACAUGCACAAUCAAUGCUAUUUCUUCACUCUAAAUGUUUCAGUCUCUUACCUGGAAGAUGUAAUAUUACUCCAAUAGAAACAAUUUUC
rnacentral:lncRNA from 1 species